CACGUAGGGCGCAAGCGUUGUCCGGAAUUUAUUGGGCGUAAAGAGCGUGUAGGCGGCUUUACAGGUCCGUUGUGAAAACUCGAGGCUCAACCUCGAGACGCCGGUGGAAACCGUAAGGCUAGAGUCCGGAAGAGGAGAGUGGAAUUCCUGGUGUAGCGGUGAAAUGCGCAGAUAUCAGGAGGAACACCCGGUGGCGGAAAGCGGCUCUCUGGGACGGUACUGGACGCUGAGACGCGAAAGCGUGGG
rnacentral:rRNA from 1 species